GACAUCAGAGCCCUUCAUCCAGAUGAUCCUGAGCCCCCGGAUUGAGUCAGACCCGUUUAUUUGCAUAUUUAUUUUAUUAUUUUAUUUCUGGGCUUGUUUGCAUUCUAGGGUUUAUUUGUAGUUUAUGUUAUUUCUGGGCUUAUUUGCAUUUUAGGGCUUAUUUGUGUUAUUUGUGGGUUUAUUAGGAUUUAUAUCUGUGUAAGGGGGGUUUAUGCAAGUUGUGU
rnacentral:lncRNA from 1 species